GAAAAGGCCCUGUCAGGAACAGAGACAGCGUUCAUCCGUCAAGAAGGCAUGGCAACCUAUCCACAGGAUAGGGCGGCCAUUCCGCAAGCAGGCUGGAAUCAGGGUGGUACCACGGUCCUUUCGUCCCUUUG
rnacentral:sRNA from 1 species